CUUCGAUAGCCUUCUCCGGAUUUUCACUUAUAUGAUAAGGUCCAAUUCCAGCGAAACCCAGAAAUGCUUCGCAACCUACUUUCUUCACUGUGCAGACGAAUAUUUCAUAACUGUGAAUGAAAAUGAAGUAAUUUAAUACUCAGACGUUCUCGAUUUCCGCCGUACCCUUUUACGCAACAUCUUCGAAGGUGGAAAAAUAUUAAUCUCACAGAUCGCGAUUACGAAACUCUAAUUCUCUUCGCCCAAGAUAUGAACUUCGAUAUCGGAUCGAUUGAUCUAACUUCGGCAAAGUGGAGAGAAGUACUGCUUUAAUCGUGUAUUUUCUGCUCGUUUACAUAGGCUUGGCUUUCAGGUUUGCUUUGGGCCGCACGGGGACAUCGGCGACAUUGUAGGCACGCGAUAUAAUAUAAUGAUUAAUGAGCUUGUGAUACAAAUACACGCAGAGGUAAUUACGGAGCAGAAAAAUGAGGGUUCUGCGAAGGAUAUACAUGUGACAAAAACUUCAACGAAUUUUGACAAACGAUUAUAAACGAUUAGAGUUUUAUAAACAUGUUUGGAAAAGAAGCUAUCAAACUGAUAACAGAGCUCGAUAUGUAUGAGGAUAUCCGACCGUUUAAUGAGCAGGUAAUGCGACAAGUUUUUGAAGAGAUGCAAACUCUUUACGAGGCCAAUCUGGUGGACAGUAACACUAUACAGAAUGAAGGAAAUAAUGAGUUAUUACCAUCAGUGCACUUCCGCCAUACAGCUCUGCUCAGAAACAAAAGAUGUGUUCUGGCAUAUCUGUAUCAUCGGAUUAGGCGUUUACGGCAGAUGCGUUGGGAAUUAGGCAGCAUUUUGCCUACUGAAAUAACAGCCAACUUGUUGAAUGCAGAAAUGCAAUGGUUUCAAAAUUACAACAAGUCACUGGCUACUUAUAUGAGAUCAAUUGGAGAUGAUUAUGGACUGAAUCUGACUGUGAACAUGAGUCCUCCAAAGACACUCUAUGUUGAAGUGAAAUGCUUAACUGAUUUUGGAAAGCUGGAACUCGAGGACGGCGAGAUUAUUACGCUCAAAAAGAAUACAUACCAUCUGCUACCAAGAGCUACAUGUGAGCCACUUAUCCGACAAGUUAUGAAAUACAGACAAGGCAGUGUGAAUUUCCUGUAGUGAACUGGAAGAAAACAUCGAUCGAGGGCAGCAGAAAAAGUUUUCUGCAAGUUUGACUUAGAACGCCGUUCGUCAAUAUUUGGCAACGAUAGAUAACCAUUCAAGCCUUUAAGAUUCAUUGUUUGGAGAAUUGACGAAGCUGUUUUCCCCCAGAUAAUCCGGACAUUGACGUCGGUGAUGCCUACCUGUAUCUACAAGCACGUACGCCAAGCAAUCUUCAUCUUUAUUCGUAAUCGAUUAACCGACUUAAUGCAUAGUGAUAUCAAACGUUACAAUCAUGCAACACACUUAUAACAGAAAAAUUUGAAGACUCUCAACAGUUUUAUCUUUCGAGGAAAGAAGAUUCCCGUAUGCAUAUUUGGAUUUUGCUGUCUAAAAAGUAACAGCUAUGCAUCGUCGCGGGGCCAUUUCAGAUAGGAAAUGCCGGUGGAAUUUCCGGUGAGUUCUUCGCCUCGAGCUGCUUUUACCGAGAGGUACUACGAAGAAAGUAGCCCGACUGUCACAUGCGGCGGCAAAUGCGAAAGUUAACAUCGAUCAUCGUGUAAAUCGCGCCAGUCUGUGUCGAUAGGAGAGAGAUGGAAAUCUACUAAAUAUAAAGCUGACGAGAAGAAGCGGUGGCGUAUCGACGACCACGACGACGUCGAGGAGGGCAACGUCGAUUCCGGAUUCCUGUCGAGUGGCAAUCUACAGUUCAGCGGCGAGAUCCGCGACUCGGAUUUACCGCAACAGGGGGGACAAUCCGGG